rnacentral:rRNA from 1 species
UACGUAGGGUGCAAGCGUUGUCCGGAAUUAUUGGGCGUAAAGAGCUCGUAGGCGGUCUGUCACGUCGGCUGUGAAAACCCGAGGCUCAACCUCGGGCCUGCAGUCGAUACGGGCAGACUAGAGUUCGGUAGGGGAGACUGGAAUUCCUGGUGUAGCGGUGAAAUGCGCAGAUAUCAGGAGGAACACCGGUGGCGAAGGCGGCAUCCUGGACCGGCAUUGACGCUGAGGCGCGAAAGCCAGGGGAGCAAACGGG